rnacentral:lncRNA from 1 species
GAAAUCACUUAGCAGUUUAUCCCAUGUUACAGCAGAGAGAAGACCGGUGGUGAGGGAAUUCUAUAAGCUCAUUGAUGAAGGGCUGCAGUUGGAGUUGUCUGGUACAGGUGCUUUGAUAGCUCAGAUGAGAGUGACACCCGUGUUUCUGGAGCAGGUGGCUCAGAAACAGCAUGAGGACCCAGAGUUGGUGAAGAUAGCCAGAGC